UAACUUCAACUCGUCGAGCUUUCUUUGCUGUGCCUCAGUCGCAGCUGCUCCAGCUUCUGUUUCUGCAUAACCAGUCUCCACCAGGUUCCAAUAUUCUUUGGACCUCAGAAAAUUUUCCAUUAGCAUGCUCCAAUGGUCAUAAUGGCCAUCGAAGCGGGGAAUUGCUGGCUGCACGAAAUUUCCUUCACUCAUCAUACCUCUCUCUCUCUCUCUCUCUGUUUACAGAUUGCAACUACGAUGUUGCCGAGAUGGAGCAGAGCUGUGACUUAUCUCUCUAGGGUUUCAUCACACAAGAACAACAUGGUAACUAGAAGAGAUUUUCAUGGUUUCUUAUACCGAAGCUAUUCCAAAGUCGCCGCUGC